rnacentral:siRNA from 1 species
GAUGAAUUACAAAAUGAUCAAAC